rnacentral:rRNA from 1 species
GACUCUCGGCAACGGAUAUCUCGGCUCUCGCAUCGAUGAAGAACGUAGCGAAAUGCGAUACCUGGUGUGAAUUGCAGAAUCCCGCGAACCAUCGAGUCUUUGAACGCAAGUUGCGCCCGAGGCCACUCGGCCGAGGGCACGCC